AUUUAAGACGACCAAAGCCUGAAUAAGCUCAACUCCAUUUGUAGGUUUGUCACGAUUAGGGUUAGUUUUGUGUGCUCAGUGUUAGGGUCAGUACUGACAUCACACAGAGGGGGCGGUGUUGAGGUGCUCAUUAGCGGUAAAUGGCAACAGCUCUGUGGCCUGGUGAGUCUCAGGAAGUGAGACUCUGAGUGGGGAGUCUCUGGAGGUGGCUCUCUGCAGGUGAGACUUGGGAGUUUGAAGGAAUAAAACACGAAGGACACAUGUUUCUGUAAAGACACCUCAAUGAGGGAACUUUUGGUUGUAUACACAAGGGGAAACUGAACGACGGGAUUCAAAGCGCGGGCUGGUCACCUGGAGACGAGGUGCCGGUGCGGCAUGUCACGGAUAUGGCAAGCCUUGCCAUACACGGAGAGAGUGCUGUUCGCCUACGAGGCUGUGGACCUGCUUUGAUUUCCUCCUAACCCCCUAGAUAGGACCUGGAGAAUGGCCGCCAGAAUGGUGAAACAGGAUCCCCACGCAGCAGCCGCAGGACAUGGGAGAAAAGGGACGGACACAGUAAGCCUUCGAUGUUCCUCUGUCAAGUCAAUGGUCCACAACUCUUCCCCACUUAGCCGAGAAGACCUCAGUAAUGUAUAAAGGACAUUCUGACUCCCUGUCGCCUCAUGUUUCAGAAGGACUCAUUGGGCCUCUACUACCGGGGUUUUAAAUAUUCCUGCGGUUCCAUCAAAAAAAAAAGGAAAACUGCCGUGCACCUGAGGUUGUGAAUGCAACAUCCAACAAAGAGGUUACAUCUAUCACAUUUUUUAAAGGAACGGGGAAAGUACCAAUGGCAUUAACUUGUAGGAUCCUGCUAUCACUGUCUUUCACACCUCUGCACUCUAUUAUUUUGUAUUGUUUCAUGAUAUGAUUUAUCUUUCAUGCAGUGUUAAGGUUCAAGCUAUAUUAAAUCCCAGAGGGCGAUUGUUUUGAAGUCCAAGUGCAUCACAGUCACAGACACUGUGAAAAAUACAAGAGUUAGGAAGAGACUAUUCAACAAAUAAUACUAGGGCUGGGUAUUGUGGCCAAUUUCCUAAAUCGAUUCGAUUUCGAUUCAUAAGGUUCUGAAUCAAUUAAUCACCAUUUCAUUCGAUUCGAUUCAAUCUGCUCUUAAAUAAUGAAAAUAUCUCAAAAGCGCAAUUUUGAAAUUAGAAAGGUGUAUGGCCCUAAACAAUACAGGAGACAAGAACAGACCAUCCUAGACACGAUAAUGGGUCUUGUUUGAUUUUGAAAUGUUCCUUCAAAGCCUUGCCCACCCGGGAUUUUGUCCUUUACUGGUUUCACCUCUCCACUCAUUUGGUUAUUGUGGUCAUUGUAAGCUUUUUUAAGCUGACGUUUUAUCACUGGAUGAAUUACCUUAUGCAUCGCAUUGUACAGUGUUGUGCUGGAAUAUACGGUUAAAGCACCUUGAGCUCAACAUCAUUGACAACAUUUGUCUUUCUGAAUUAAGCGAAGUCUUACUUUGUUUAAAAGAAUAGAUUUUCUUUAAACAUGGAUUUUCCGUGUGUUUUGAUAUCUCUCUAUUUAUUCAUGUUAGCAUGUUUAGACACUGACUUUUAUUCAACAUCUUUGCAGACUCAUCUCAGUAGUUUAAUACUUGUUUCUUAAGUGUGCUCAAACCUCUUUUUUUCUGCUAGCAGGGCUGAUGGCAAAGCAUGGUUAUUUAUUUAUUUAUUUGGGCUUCAAGAUUAAUCUCAAAUGACUUCCCGAAACCACAAUGGUUUCCACAAGAGUGUCAUUAAACACUUGAAUGGCGAGUUCAUCCCAUAUCUGUCAUCACCUAUUAUUAUUUAUAUAACAACUUUUGCCCUUUUCAAAGUCUGACCUUAUCUUUAUUUGAGUUUCUGGCUUUCAUCCUUCCAGAGCAAAAGUAUUCAAAAAAUCGAGGUGGUUAUGUCAUAAAAGAUAUGCUUCAGUAAUUCUUAAAAAAAAGUCUUUAAGAACUGGCAAGUAGCAAAACCCUGAACUCCCCAUAUCUUCAAUCCUUAAAAACAAUGAAUAUUAUAAUAGGUAUUUGUUGGAUUUUUUGGUGAAGUAAUUUAACUCAUUUGAAAUGGAGAAUUUCCUCACCUUAGUGUCCAGAGAAUAUGAUGCUCUAUGAAUAUGCAACACCCAAAGGCCUCAGACCAUCAAACAACGACAACCCGAUAAUUAGCAUUUAUUAUCAUUUUGGAACGUGAUAAGUUGGAUCUAUUUUCUUAUCCAACACAUUUGUGCUUAAAGUGUCUGUGUUCUCCCAUUUUUCAGUAAUGUGGAGACAGUGCGAGGUAGAGAGACAAACACGCUGGUUGAUUGCAACGAAUAAUCUGUCUUUGUAGACCUUUAAUAGUUAACUGUUCAUCACCCAGGCUGGCCAGGCCAAAACGCUAUUUUUUUCAUACCCUGUCUCGUGUUGGAAUCCAUGACCACACACGCUCCCACUAUCAAUUCUGGCCGGACUCUUGUUUGAGCCUUACACUCUGCUGCAGCUGUUGACAUGCAACGCUAAGGGCGUCGGGAAGGCUGUGAACAGACUGCAGAUGGAGGACAGACCCACAGGAGUCCAGCUACUACACUCAAACCGGCUGAACCUCAGCUGCUAGGUGUGUUUAGUUUGUUUGUUUUUGGUGGAUCGAUUGGACCUGUCUCCUGACCAAGACUCAACAGAGAUUCAACUCCAAAAUUCCAAGUGUUUUAGAUUUGUAUUAUCCAACUCUUUAAUUUAUCUUUUUUAUGUUGGUUUUAGAAAUAUUUAUGUUAAAUAUCAUUUUACUCGGGCAGAGAUGGGCCCACUUCUAAUACAUCUAAUACAGCCCUAUGCAAGAGAAUCCUGUUAGCCAACAGGAAGCCUAGGCACCCAACCUGAUCAACACAGCGGCAACAUAUCUAAGAGGUGGUGUUAGCUGGUUGGUGACGGUGGACACAUCGGCCCCUUCAUGUGCAUGAAGGUAGAUCUACACAGGUAGAGCUGGGUUGGAGACCUGGUGCAGAGUACAGAUGUGAGCGAAACUAUUGAUGUACCCUAACUGUUUGCUGUCAGCCGUGAUGGGUUCAGCGUGCUGCCGAUUGUCCAUCAAUGUGUGACUGGUGCAGGUGUCUCUGCUUUGAUGCGCCUCUUAUUUAUCCCUCAACGGUAUGAAAGGCAUUAUCGUCACUGUGAUAUCAACUGCCGCUGAUGCCAGAGUACUGGCUGGGCUCCUGUGUUUCCUCACUGGGCUCAUGGCUCCCUAUCAGGGCUGUGUCUGAAGUAGGACAUGGCACAGCUGUCAUCAGUUGCAUAAGCACUUGUCCAACCGAAACAGUACUUCUAUUUAAAUGGAAAUGGGAGUAAACAUUAAGCGAAAGAUGGAUAAGAUACAGAUUAGAUAGAGGCAGUCCAAUGGCUACCGGGUUUGCACUUCCACCCAGAUGGUACACGGCUCAAUCCCCAAUAUCAAUAGCCUUACCUCACAAGUGCCCUUGAGCAAGAUACAUAACCUCUGUCUGAUCAUUUCAUCUCCAUCCGAAUGCCCUUUCAGUCAAUUUGAAUAAAAGCUCAAGAAAUGAAA